CCUACGGGUGGCAGCAGUGAGGAAUAUUGGUCAAUGGGCGCAAGCCUGAACCAGCCAAGUCGCGUGAGGGAUGACGGUCCUAUGGAUUGUAAACCUCUUUUGUCGGGGAGCAAGGCCCGCCACGUGUGGCGGGAAGGAGAGUACCCGAAGAAAAAGCAUCGGCUAACGCGGUGCCAGCAGCCGCGGUAAUACGGAGGAUGCGAACGUUAUACGGAUUUAUGGGGUUGAAAGGGUGCGCAGGGGGAAGAUAAAGUUAGCGGUAAAAUUGAGAGGUGCAACCUCGUCGAGCCGUUGAAACUGGGUUUCUUGAGUGAGGGAGAGGUAUGCGGAAUGCGUGGUGUAGCGGUGAAAUGCAUAGAUAUCACGAAGAACUCCGAUUGCGAAGGCAGCAUACCGGCGCUCAACUGACGCUGAUGCACGAAAGUGUGGGUAGCGAACAGGAUUAGAUACCCUAGUAGUC
rnacentral:rRNA from 1 species